UUGUCCUCUCUAUGUCCUUAUUGUCCUCAGGUUCUCACCUUCUCAUUCCAAACAAUUUUUUUUUUUUCCUGUAGCAUGGAAAGUGAAAGAAACUGGAGGUAGGAAGACGAGGCUCUUGUGCCUCAUCUAUGGUGGUAUCUUCCUGGAGUGGAAUCUAGGGCGCGGCGGAAGCCAUACGCUUGAAAGAAGGGGAAGUGAAAGGCGGAGGACUUUUGAGUUUUAUUGGCCGAGAAGCAAGGGCACGGUGUCUCUCUAUGGAUUUAGUUCGGUCUCGGUGUGGAAGCUCGGGGAAUCAGCUUUGUGGAUAGUGGUUUUGUGGUUGUGGGAUUUUGGAAACCCUAGAUUUGGUUCAGGGUAGGGUUGUGUGGUUGACUGAUUAGGUUGGGAGCUGGGCUGCGCAUGCGAUUGACUGGGUUUUCAUGCCGUCAAAACCACUGCCUUGGGAUCGGAAGGACUUCUUCAAGGAGAGGAAGCACGAGAGGUCGGAGACUUUAGGUUUGCUGCAAGAUAGAGGGACUCACAUCAAGUUUCUUGGGAGUUUGCUCGUUGGGAUCGGCAGAUUUUCGCCGCCCUACAGGACAGUUGGGAAUUCAUAGGAAGAUUUGUCCAGAGAUGGUUAUUAUCUUUUGGCAGAAACACUCAAAGAUGAGGGUGAGAAAAAGGUUGUUCAAGCAGUUUUAGUGAAACAUAUCUGGGUUAAACUAGUCAAAGAUAACUUGUACCAUCAGGACUCUCAAAACCUUGUUGUGGAGAGGCGUGAAGAGUGACCUAUGGCGCUUGUCACUUUGAAUGCUUUUGAUCUCAUCUUGACAUCUCCUCGGUACUCUCUUUGAAAAGAUGAAACUUCAAGGGGAGAAAUUUGGAUGCAAGGGUCAUUUAUCUAUUGCAAUAGAGGCAUUUCUCUCUUAGUUGCCUUGUUUGCAGGAUCCCCUGACCAUGAGUUCAUUGGAACAUUACCUGAAGAUGUCUCAACUGGAUGUCAAUAAUUUACUUGGACAAAUUUUUGAAGUGGCCCUUUGCUAUACAUGGUCAAGCUUUGAAAAUCUGGGGGAGAUACUCUAGAAUUUCACAAGGUAUGUAUCUACUAUCUCAAUGCAAUUCUCAUAUUAAAUUAGAAUGAAUAUUGAAUUUUUAUCCCGAGCAUAUUGGUUGCCAAUAUCUUGUUUGAUACCGAAGCCCUACCCUCUUUUAUGUAAAAAGCAUGUGUGAUAAAAUGUAGUGAUGUUUAUGCUAAAACAAGCUUCUACUACUUAUCUUUAAUUUAUUCCAAAAAUAACUAGACCCCUAGAUAGGGGUCUCUUGGAUAUAAGGACCUUAAAUUCAAUGUAAGACCUGUAUUAAAUUGGCUCCUUAGGGAAUUGACACCCUGAGCACAAUAUUAUUUUCCCAUGUUAGGAAAGCAGUCCAUUUUUCUCUAUAAAUUAUGAUUAAUAAAUUCAAUCAUUCACUAAAUUUGUCUUAUGUGCAAUUCUACAAGAACCUCUCAAUUGGGUUGAAAGAUAUUGUCUAGAAAUCAGGAGAUGAAGUAAAAGAGGAAGUGAAUAAUGGUUAGUGUGCAUUAUAACAUGGAUUAAGUUCGCAUUUUGCUUGAGUUUAAAUCAUUGUUCCUUUAAUGGCUUUUAAAUGGUGGUCAAUACUUGAAUUUAUAAAUCUAGCCAUGCAAUUGCAUAGAUAGAAAAAGAAAUCAUAUGUAGAACUUGAGAAUAUUAGAAUUUGUAUGGUUUUUGAGAAAAUUUAAACAAAAGAAAAUAAAAAUGAAACAAUUUGUCAUUUCCUAAAAAAUGAAAAAGUUUCAUUGAUGAAAUCUUAUGCAAAAAUUUGUUUAGUCCGUUCUCUUAGAGUUUGGUUCUUGCAAAGUAAUACUUAAGUUAUAUAACAACAUGAAUAUUCUUUAUUCCCCUGCAUAAGGUUCAUCAGUUCCUUGAGGAAACUUCAUUCUUCAGUGACAUGCAAUAAUUGUUUUUGAAAGAUAGCUACUGUAAACAUAGAAUCAAUAUGAAAGCUUAUAUACAUGUCACUUAUAAUUAGUUGCCAUAUGCUCUAACCAUCCAUUCGUUAGCGCAUGCAUGGUGCCUAUUCUUGGUCUUCACAUUUUAUAGGCAUGGAGAUGAUACUGCAUUUGGCUUGUGGUUGUUUACAUGGUUUUGGAAAUUAUGGAUACGCAUGUUUGAGGCCUUUUGGUUUUGUAUGUCGUGGAAGAUACAAUUCCACCAAAGGAUUAUGACAGUGUCUUUUAAUGCAUUGCGGUCGAUAUGUCAUGGCAGGAGAGAUUACAAAAAUACAUAAAGAGGUAAAUCUAUGUUAUCUGCUAAUAAAAAUAACACCUUCUUUGUUUUGGUGGGAUUUGUGAACUAAAAGAAAUGUUUUUGACUCACUAACCUUCUACAUUUCAUACAAUGUGUCCAAGUUGGGGAAAGACCUCAUAAAGCUGACCUUGGUAAGCAGAAUGAUCUUUUUCUUGUA